rnacentral:miRNA from 1 species
UUUGAAGCAGAUGAUGGAAC